GGAAUCCUGUUAUUGAUUUUUCAACCAAUAUCAUCCCAGACAUGCUCAAUGAGAUUCAUAUCCGGUGGUGACAUGGGUGGCCAAGGAAUAGUGUCAGUUACCUCCUUGUGUAAAUAAUAUGAAACAAUGCGUGCUCUGUGUGGCUUAGCAUUAUCGUCAAUGAAUAUUGGUCUAGUUGCAAGAUUGUGAGAGUCAAAAUGUGGCACAUCGAUAUCCCGGGUAUGUAAUCGCUAAAUUUUUAAAGACCGUACUUUGACCUAAAAUGGUUUAGUUUUACUAGUUGUGACUUAAGUGGAGAGUUGUCUCAUUGGCACCCAUACCACAUCUUCUUAUAUCUAUUCAUGCCUUGGUAUAAUGUGAAAUAAAUAGCAC
rnacentral:lncRNA from 1 species